GACGAACGCUGGCGGCGUGCCUAACACAUGCAAGUCGAACGGAAAGGCCCGGCUUUUGUGCGGUGCUCGAGUGGCGAACGGGUGAGUAACACGUGAGUAACCUGUCCCUGACUGUGGGAUAACUUCAGGAAACUGGGGCUAAUACCGCAUAGGAGCUAUUGCUGCAUGGUGGGCGUUGGAAAGUUUCGGUGGUUGGGGAUGUACUGGCGGCUUAUCAGCUUGUUGGUGGGGUAGUGGCGGACCAAGGCUUUGACGGGUAGCAGACCUGGGCGGGUGACCGGACACAUUGGGCCUGAGAUACGACCCAGACUCGAACCGGACGCAACGGUGGAGAGUGUUACACAGUAGGCGGAGGCCAGGUGCGACAACGCCGCGUGCGGGAAGACGGGCUUCGAGUUGUAAACCACUGUCGCCUGAGACGAGGCGUGAGUGACGGUACCGGGUCAAGAAGCACCGGCUAACUACGUG
rnacentral:rRNA from 1 species